AGCGAACGCUGGCGGCAGGCUUAACACAUGCAAGUCGAGCGCCGUAGCAAUACGGAGCGGCAGACGGGUGAGUAACGCGUGGGAACGUGCCUUCUGGUUCGGAAUAACUCAGGGAAACUUGAGCUAAUACCGGAUAAGCCCUUCGGGGAAGGAUUAUUCGCCGGAAGAUCGGCCCGCGUAAGAUUAGCUUGUUGGUGAGGUAAUGGCUCACCAACGGCUACGAUCUUUAGUCUGGUCNGAGAGGAUGAUCAGCCACACUGGGACUGAGACACGGCCCAGACUCCUACGGGAGGCAGCAGUGGGGAAUAUUGGACAAUGGGCGCAAGCCUGAUCCAGCCAUGCCGCGUGAGUGAUGAAGGCCUUAGGGUUGUAAAG
rnacentral:rRNA from 1 species